rnacentral:rRNA from 1 species
AACGAACGCUGGCGGCAGGCUUAACACAUGCAAGUCGAGCGGAGAUGAGGUGCUUGCACCUUAUCUUAGCGGCGGACGGGUGAGUAAUGCUUAGGAAUCUGCCUAUUAGUGGGGGACAACAUUCCGAAAGGAAUGCUAAUACCGCAUACGUCCUACGGGAGAAAGCAGGGGAUCUUCGGAUCUUGCGCUAAUAGAUGAGCCUAAGUCGGAUUAGCUAGUUGGUGGGGUAAAGGCCUACCAAGGAGACGAUCUGUAGCGGGUAUGAGAGGAUGAACCGCCACACUGGGACUGAGACACGGCCCAGACUCCUACGGGAGGCAGCAGUGGGGAAUAUUGGACAAUGGGGGGAACCCUGAUCCAGCCAUGCCGCGUGUGUGAAGAAGGCCUUAUGGUUGUAAAGCACUUUAAGCGAGGAGGAGGCUACUGAGACUAAUACUCUUGGAUAGUGGACGUUACUCGCAGAAUAAGCACCGGCUAACUCUGUGCCAGCAGCCGCCGUAAUAC